rnacentral:rRNA from 1 species
GACGAACGCUGGCGGCGUGCUUAACACAUGCAAGUCGAACGGAAAGGCCUGCUUUCCCUUGUGGAUUGCGGGUACUCGAGUGGCGAACGGGUGAGUAACACGUGAGUGAUCUGCCCCCAACUUGGGUAUAAGCCUGGGAAACUGGGUCUAAUUCCCGAUAGGACUGCAGGGUGGUGCCUGUGGUGGAAAACGAUUUUCUAGUGGUUGGGGAUGAGCUCGCGGCCUAUCAGCUUGUUGGUGGGGUAAUGGCCUACCAAGGCGGCGACGGGUAGCCGGUCUGAGAGGGUGGACGGCCACAUUGGGACUGAGAUACGGCCCAGACUCCUACGGGAGGCAGCAGUGGGGAAUAUUGCACAAUGGGCGGAAGCCUGAUGCAGCGACGCCGCGUGGGGGAUGACGGCCUUCGGGUUGUAAACUCCUUUCGACCGCGAGGAAGCCACCUGGUUGGAAGGGUGGUGACGGUAGUGGUAGAAGAAGCACCGGCUAACUACGUG